UGGCUGCUGAGGUGGGGGGCUGUGGUGAGUGUUGCCUCCUUUCUCUGGAAGAGUGGGGAGUGCUGCAACAGGGGCCUAGGAAGGUAGGCAUUAUGGGGCUUUGCUCCUUCUCAGCCUGGAUCCUCAGCGCUCCAAACACGCUUGUCAUCCAGAGUCAUGCUUCAGGAUCAGCUCAGCCAAACACAUUUGCCAAAAUGCUGCCCUCAUGGAGUUUGUAAAGGUAGCAGCUGAUGUACAGCCCAGCAAGUGAUUCAGAGAUCAGAAUGGGGCCAGAUAGCCUCAUGCUGACAGGUGGCAUCAGCGGUCCUGGGACCAUCUCUCCUCCACGUCUGAAGCCGAAGCAUUUGGUGGUGGGGGCAGGACCUCUGGCACACGUGGCCGGCACCUCAGCCAAGCUUGCCAUGUGGGUAGAGAGGGAGGGGGAAGGGGACAGAGCUGCCUGGGGUCAACCUGGCAGAUGUCCUCAGGUCUGCAGUGAGAGUUGGGGUCUUUGCUCAGAGAGGACUGAGUUUAGAGAGGAAGUGGAGGCCAAGCAGACUCUGCCACGUGUCCAGCAGCCCUGAGAAAGGAGCCAGAGCCCGAGAGUGUGAGUUUGAGGCAAGGCAACUUUUCCUUGACCGGUUCUUACUUUUCCAGAUGAUGCUGUGAGUUCAGGUGAAAGAUGCUAAGCUGCUUCCUGCCAUGGCUCUGCCUGCCUCCCUAGGCCUCUGCGGCUCCUAAGACACAUUGCUCUUCGGGGGGCUAUCCCUCCCACACCUAGACCCCCUCAUCCCAGAUCUACCUUGGCUUCUGGACGUUUCCUCCCAAGACCUCAGUAUCCCUAAUGUUGUCCUAGAUAAUUCUAUCUCAUUUUCCUUGGGCCCGGAAAGAGCUGCUCAAGACAUUGUUCUGCCCUCCCGGAUGCAGCCACUGUCUCCCUGCCCAGGAGUUAGCUCUCAGCAGCACAGGUCUGCUGCCUUCCCCAGCGUGCGUGUGGAGACACAGGGGUGUUUCUGCUUAUCGCAAUGACAGGAGGCUGCUGCGGACAUUCAGCGGACACGGGGCUGGGGUACUAAGUGCCUGGAGUGGAUGGGACAGACUCUGAAGAAUUGCCCCACCUGAAAUGCUGAUAGGGCCCACCUGCAUUGAGAAGCUCUGGGAUAAGGGAAGCUAGGUGCCCCCCACUCGGCCAGCAGCCCAGCUUGGGCUGGCCCACGCCCUGAGGGGCUGCACCAGCGCUCCUGCUCUGUUUCCAGUGCCGACCAGUGGAGUGAGGCCGCUGCCCUGGCCCCAGCCAGUGGCCCAG